CAUCACAAAAUUUACACAGGUCUGUGUUCAGCGAUCCUGGCCAGUUUGUUUCUAACAAGCUGUGAUCGGUUGAUUUCUGAGCAGUUCGACGACAAAGGAGCCAUCCUACAGUCUUUUAAAAGCUGCUAUGGUGUCAAUUUCCUGUCGACAGAUCUGAGAUCGAUGUACAGCUCUCAACACCCUUUGGCUUUGAGCUCCCUUUCUCUUUAUGAGGUUGGUGAAUUCAGUUGGAGGAUUGGGUUGCUGUCGGCGUCAUAUUCCCACUCCCUUUACUGAUCUUUUUGGCCGUCGGCUGAUGAGGUUAGGGAAAAACCAUGACUAGCCAACAUUC
rnacentral:sRNA from 1 species